UACGUAGGUGGCAAGCGUUGUCCGGAUUUACUGGGCGUAAAGGAUGCGUAGGCGGACAUUUUAAGUCAGAUGUGAAAUACCCGAGCUUAACUUGGGUGCCUGCAUUUGAAACUGGGUGUCUAGAGUGCAGGAGAGGUAAGUGGAAUUCCUAGUGUAGCGGUGAAAUGCGUAGAGAUUAGGAAGAACACCAGUGGCGAAGGCGACUUACUGGACUGUAACUGACGCUGAGGCAUGAAAGCGUGGGGAGCAAACAGG
rnacentral:rRNA from 1 species